AGGCAUUUCUCACUACAAGCCAAAUUAAGGUGAAACCGCGAAAGGCUCAUUAAAUCAGUUAUGGUUCCUUAGAUCGUACCCACAAUUACUUGGAUAACUGUGGUAAUUCUAGAGCUAAUACAUGCAAACAGAGCUCCGACCGGAGACGGAAGGAGUGCUUUUAUUAGAUCAAAACCAAUCGGUGGCGGACGCGUUUCGCGCGCGCUCGUCAUCGUACAAUUUGGUGACUCUGAAUAACUUUAAGCUGAUCNCACGGUCCAGCACCGGCGACGCAUCUUUCAAAUGUCUGCCUUAUCAACUGUCGAUGGUAGGUUCUGCGCCUACCAUGGUCGUAACGGGUAACGGGGAAUCAGGGUUCGAUUCCGGAGAGGGAGCCUGAGAAACGGCUACCACAUCCAAGGAAGGCAGCAGGCGCGCAAAUUACCCACUCCCGGCACGGGGAGGUAGUGACGAAAAAUAACGAUACGGGACUCAUCCGAGGCCCCGUAAUCGGAAUGAGUACACUCUAAACCCUUUAACGAGGAUCAAUUGGAGGGCAAGUCUGGUGCCAGCAGCUGCGGUAAUUCCAGCUCCAAUAGCGUAUAUUAAAGUUGUUGCGGUUAAAAAGCUCGUAGUCGAAUUUGUGUCUCGCGGCGCCGGUUCAUCGUCCGCGGUGUUAACNGGCGAUUUCUGGCGAGACGGUACGACGACGACGACGGCGGUACGACGGCUACCCAACUUUCAAUCCUGCCGCGGUGCUCUUCGUUGAGUGUCGAGGUGGGCCGGCACGUUUACUUUGAACAAAUUAGAGUGCUUAAAGCAGGCUAAAAUUUCGCCUGAAUACUGUGUGCAUGGAAUAAUGGAAUAGGACCUCGGUUCUAUUUUGUUGGUUUUCGGAACCCCGAGGUAAUGAUUAAUAGGAACGGAUGGGGGCAUUCGUAUUGCGACGUUAGAGGUGAAAUUCUUGGAUCGUCGCAAGACGAACAGAAGCGAAAGCAUUUGCCAAAAACGCUUUCAUUGAUCAAGAACGAAAGUUAGAGGUUCGAAGGCGAUCAGAUACCGCCCUAGUUCUAACUAUAAACGAUGCCAGCUAGCGAUCCGUCGAAGUUCCUCCGAUGACUCGACGGGCAGCUCACGGGAAACCAAAGCUUUUGGGUUCCGGGGGAAGUAUGGUUGCAAAGCUGAAACUUAAAGGAAUUGACGGAAGGGCACCACCAGGAGUGGAGCCUGCGGCUUAAUUUGACUCAACACGGGAAACCUCACCAGGCCCGGACACCGGAAGGAUUGACAGAUUGAGAGCUCUUUCUUGAUUCGGUGGGUGGUGGUGCAUGGCCGUUCUUAGUUGGUGGAGCGAUUUGUCUGGUUAAUUCCGAUAACGAACGAGACUCUAGCCUGCUAACUAGGCGUUAAAAUUUUGACAUCGCAAAGGCCCGCCG
rnacentral:rRNA from 1 species